rnacentral:rRNA from 1 species
GCAGUCGACGGUGACGAGGGGCUUGCUCCUCUGAUCAGUGGCGAACGGGUGAGUAACACGUGAGUAACCUGCCCUUCACUCUGGGAUAACGCUGGGAAACUGGUGCUAAUACUGGAUAUGACCUGCUCGGGCAUCCGAUGUGGGUGGAAAGAUUUAUUGGUGGAGGAUGGACUCGCGGCCUAUCAGCUUGUUGGUGAGGUAAUGGCUCACCAAGGCGACGACGGGUAGCCGGCCUGAGAGGGCGAUCGGCCACACUGGGACUGAGACACGGCCCAGACUCCUACGGGAGGCAGCAGUGGGGAAUAUUGCACAAUGGGCGAAAGCCUGAUGCAGCGACGCCGCGUGAGGGAUGAAGGCCUUCGGGUUGUAAACCUCUUUCAGCAGGGAAGAAGCGUCUGGGUUUUCUCAGGUGUGACGGUACCUGCAGAAGAAGCACCGGCUAACUACGUGCCAGCAGCCGCGGUAAUACGUAGGGUGCAAGCGUUGUCCGGAAUUAUUGGGCGUAAAGAGCUUGUAGGCGGUUUGUCGCGUCUGCUGUGAAAUUUCGGGGCUCAACCCCGAACUUGCAGUGGGUACGGGCAGACUAGAGUGUGGUAGGGGAGACUGGAAUUCCUGGUGUAGCGGUGAAAUGCGCAGAUAUCAGGAGGAACACCGAUGGCGAAGGCAGGUCUCUGGGCCACUACUGACGCUGAGAAGCGAAAGCAUGGGGAGCGAACAGGAUUAGAUAACCUGGUAGAAUCACUAGUGAAUUC